rnacentral:rRNA from 1 species
AUUGACGGAGAGUUUGAUCCUGGCUCAGGACGAACGCUGGCGGCGGGCCUAAUACAUGCAAGUCGAACGCUCUCGACCUUCGGGUCACAUGAGAGAGUGGCGAACGGGUGAGUAACACGUGAGAAACCUACCCUUGAGUUUGGGAUAAGCAGAGGAAACUUUGUCUAAUACCGAAUGCCUUGUCCGGAUCGCAUGAUCUGGUCAAGAAAGCUCCGGCGCUCAAGGAGGGUCUCGCGGCCUAUCAGCUUGUUGGUGAGGUAACGGCUCACCAAGGCAUCGACGGGUAGCUGGUCUGAGAGGACGAUCAGCCACACUGGGACUGAGACACGGCCCAGACUCCUACGGGAGG